UACGUAGGGUGCGGGCGUUAAUCGGAAUUACUGGGCGUAAAGCGUGCGCAGGCGGUGAUGUAAGACAGGUGUGAAAUCCCCGGGCUUAACCUGGGAACUGCAUUGGUGACUGGCAGGCUUUGAGUGUGGCAGAGGGAGGUAGAAUUCCACGUGUAGCAGUGAAAUGCGUAGAGAUGUGGAGGAAUACCGAUGGCGAAGGCAGCCUCCUGGGCCAACACUGACGCUCAUGCACGAAAGCGUGGGGAGCAAACAGG
rnacentral:rRNA from 1 species